rnacentral:rRNA from 1 species
UCCAGACUCCUACGGGAGGCAGCAGUGGGGAAUAUUGCACAAUGGGGGAAACCCUGAUGCAGCGACGCCGCGUGAGUGAAGAAGUAUUUCGGUAUGUAAAGCUCUAUCAGCAGGGAAGAUAAUGACGGUACCUGACUAAGAAGCCCCGGCUAACUACGUGCCAGCAGCCGCGGUAAUACGUAGGGGGCAAGCGUUAUCCGGAUUUACUGGGUGUAAAGGGUGCGCAGGUGGCAGGGCAAGUCAGAUGUGAAAGCCCGGGGCUCAACCCCGGUAUUGCAUUUGAAACUGUCCGGCUAGAGUGCAGGAGAGGUAAGCGGAAUUCCUAGUGUAGCGGUGAAAUGCGUAGAUAUUAGGAGGAACACCAGUGGCGAAGGCGGCUUACUGGACUGUAACUGACACUGAGGCACGAAAGCGUGGGGAGCAAACAGGAUUAGAUACCCGGGUAAU